CGACUCCCGACAACGGAUAUCUAGGCUCUCGCAUCGAUGAAGAACGUAGCAAAAUGCGAUACUUGGUGUGAAUUGCAGAAUCCCGUGAAUCAUCGAGUCUUUGAACGCAAGUUGCGCCCAAAGUCAUUAGGCCGAGGGCACGUCUGCCUGGGUGUCACG
rnacentral:rRNA from 2 species